GGCAAUCCUCUCCGGUCCCCUUCCGGGCUGUGGGAGCUUUGUUCUUUUGCUCUUUGCAAUAAAUCUUGCUGCUGCUCGCUCUUUGGGUCCACAUUGCCUUUGUGAGCUGUAACACUCACGGCGAAGGUCUGCAGCUUCACUCCUAAAGCCAGAGAGACCACAAACCCACCGGGAGGAACGAACAACUCCAGACGCGCGGCCUUAAGAGCUGUAACACUCACCGCGAAAGUCUGCAGCUUCACUCCUAAAGCCAGCGAGACCACGAACCCACCAGGAGGAACGAACAAUUCCAGAUGCGCCGCCUUAGGAGCUGUAACACUCACCGCGAAGAUCUGCAGCUUCACUCCUGAGCCGGCGAGACCACGAACCCCACCAGAAGGAAGAAACUCCGGACACGCCGCCUUUAAGAACUAUAACACUCACGGCGAGGGUCCACGGCUUCAUUCUUGAAGUCAGUGAAACCAAGAACCCACCAAUUCCGGACACAGCAGGAUCCCACCCACAGAACCGCCAGGUGCACAGCUGCAUAUCCUCAGGGGAAAACUCCCCUCCCCUGCCACCUUACUGAUAGGCUUCACUUCCCAGAGAACUUUCCCAAUCCUGUGCAAUGCCUGAGUGGUACAUUGUAUUCUAUGAGAAUGGCGCCCCCGCCUCCAGAGUUGUGCAACAAGACUUCCAUGAAUCAAAGCCCAUCGCUGGCUGCCUCCUCUAGCCCUGCAUAGCCCAGAAGCUACAACCUCAGCCCAGAUUAGCAGGCUGAGGGGUCAGGAGGCUGUCACUGGAGCUGUUGAGCUCAUGAACACGCCGAAGUUGCUGCGCUCCAGAAAUGUGGAAGUUGGAAUGAAGAGCCACCACUGCUGCCACCAACAUGAAGCUUGACCAAGCAAGCCAAGAAAAGAUGGCCAAGAGCCUCUGCCUUCCUUCUGCCUUCUGCAACGCAAUGGUGAGCUGCACAUCCACAACUUGAAGGGAGUCUGGGAAAUGCAGAGUUAAACUUUCUAGCCUCUCUAAGCUUUCAACUGUUACAGAAAGGCAACCCAGGAGGAGACUGGAAUAAAUGCUGAGUGCCAAUUUCCAA
rnacentral:lncRNA from 1 species